CACACGCCUCAUCCGCCAUUCCUCUUUCCUUCGCUGCCACGAGCGCCUUCCUCCGCCUCCGGGACCCGAGAAUUAGGCAAAGCAGCCUUCUGGCACCGGCGGCUGCAGGGGAAACAGCAAGAAGCCCGCCGUUGCCUGCCAUCUAGGAGGUUCUUGGGCGUGCGCGCGCAGGACCGUCACCCUCCCCCCUUCCCCCUCCCCCCGCCCUCCCACCCAGUCUGGCCGCGCGCGGGGCUGCUCGUCUCCUUCAAGCCAGCGACCAAAGUUUCCCGCACGGCCGUCUUGGAAUCGUCUCGCGUGCCCUCCUCCCGGCCCUUGUGUCUGCCGUCUGUCUGUUUCUGUGUGUCCAUCAAGCCAGUUGAAAUAAGCCCUUGGUGACGCCAGGCUCCAGUACUAUGGAAGGUUUAGACUUCUACCCAACACCUCUAGGAGCUCGGUUGUGCCUGCAGUUGACGUGUAUCACUUAUCUCCCAGCAAGUCUCCUGCUAGUAGAGCUAGUAGUUCCUAGUUCCCCCUACUCUUGCUAGCAGAACUUAAUAUUUCCAGGUAAGGUAUCUGCUCAGGUUUUAUAUAUGUGUGAGUUCCUGCAUGUUUCCUCGUUACGACCUUAAUGUUUUUUGUUUUUAUUUUUUUUUAUUUUUCGUUUCUAUGGAAUCCAUUUGGUGUUAGAUGACUGUCAGCUGUGAGUGUUGUUCUAGGCUGUAACAUGUACUGUAAUUAAUCAGAUAUUUCUAUAAUAAUAUUGUCAUUUUUGAUUAGCGUGCAAUUUUAUGCUAAACCGCGUAAAGUGGUUUUAAAAAGAAUAUUUUAAACAAAUGUCCCGCGUUGCUAUGACAAGAUGUGCGUUUUGAGAUGUCUUUGUACUGCUUUGUGUAAGUAAAAUGUUGACUAUUGUUAAGGAUA